GGGAAUGUCCGCUACCA
rnacentral:tRNA from 1 species